rnacentral:rRNA from 1 species
GGCGGGCCCCCCAGGUGCCCCUCGGAGACGAGGAGCAGGCCCGCCGGCGGCCAACCUAACUCUUGUUUUUACACUGAAACUCUGAGGAUAAAACAUAAAUGAAUCAAAACUUUCAACAACGGAUCUCUUGGUUCUGGCAUCGAUGAAGAACGCAGCGAAAUGCGAUAAGUAAUGUGAAUUGCAGAAUUCAGUGAAUCAUCGAAUCUUUGAACGCACAUUGCGCCCUCUGGUAUUCCGGAGGGCAUGCCUGUUCGAGCGUCAUUUCAACCCUCAAGCCUGGCUUGGUGAUGGGGCACUGCUUUUACCCAAGAGCAGGCCCUGAAAUUCAGUGGCGAGCUCGCCAGGACCCCGAGCGCAGUAGUUAAACCCUCGCUUUGGAAGGCCCUGGCGGUGCCCUGCCGUUAAACCCCCAACUUUUGAAAAUUUGACCUCGGAUCAGGUAGGAAUACCCGCUGAACUUAAGCAUAUCAAUAAGCGGAGGA